UACAGAGGUCCCGAGCGUUGUUCGGAUUCAUUGGGCGUAAAGGGUGCGCAGGCGGCAGGGUAAGUCUGAUGUGAAAUCCCGGGGCUCAACCCCGGAACUGCACUGGAUACUGCUCUGCUUGAGUACUGGAGAGGAAACUGGAAUUUACGGUGUAGCAGUGAAAUGCGUAGAGAUCGUAAGGAAGACCAGUGGCGAAGGCGAGUUUCUGGACAGUUACUGACGCUGAGGCACGAAGGCCAGGGGAGCAAACGGG
rnacentral:rRNA from 1 species